CUCGCUUGAGACCGGUGGUGUUCGAUUUGAAGGACUUUGGAGGUGUCGGCAAUGGGGUCACGGACUCACGGUUGACACCGAGGCGUUUGAGAGAGCGGUGGUGGAGAUUUGCAGCGUAACGCAUUGGCUGGCUUGCCUGAGAUUCUUGUCACCACACCUGCUUGUAUUCCUAAGUGUUUUGCAGAUGGGGUUUUAGAUCCCGCAGCUAUCAGUGAAUCGCUUGAGAUUUUGGUUCUUGAUGAGAUAAUCAAGUAGUAUAACUGUCUUGAACGGUGGAAACAUGUUUGAAAAAUGUUGUCUUGAGAAGUUGUCUUGAGAAGUUGUCUUGAACGGUGGAAACAUGUUUGAAAAAUGUCAGUUCUGAUGUUGAGAAAUUGAAGAAAUUGAUUCUGCACAACCCGGUAGUCUUGACCUUGCAAGAAGGUUCUGACAAGGAAGAGCCCGUCCCAAGUAAUGUGCAGCAGUUUUGGAUUUCUUGCAGUACUCAGGAUAAACUACUACACAUUCUUGCUCUCCUGAAGCUAGAGGUUGUUCAGAAGAAAGUUCUGAUAUUCAUCAAUACUAUUGACAUGGGUUUCAACGGCCAUUGACACCGGUGAAAAGUGAUUGGACUCUCUUGCAACACACAGGUAUUGAGAGCAUCCGUGUCACGUACUCACGGAUUUCUUCUUAUUUCACCAAACGUUCCAUGUUAAGUUCUUUCUUCUUUCUUCUAUCUCAAGUUUUUUAUCUAAACACAAGAUCAAACGAUUCAAAUUAUUUAUCUAAACACAAGUUCUAGCUCAAACUCUUUCUUCCAUCUCAAGUCUUAUAAAACAAGAAAAAUCCUACCAAUAAUCUUUAAUUUAUGGAUUGUCCUUAGCUUUGUCUUUUAAUAUAAAAGUAAUAAUAAAAUAUGUUAAGGACUUAAAAAUUGUCCUACCAAUAAUGUUGCCCUAAUGGAGAGAGGU